CUAUCUACAGGCUUAACACAUGCAAGUCGAGGGGCAGCAUGGUCUUAGCUUGCUAAGGCCGAUGGCGACCGGCGCACGGGUGAGUAACACGUAUCCAACCUGCCGUCUACUCUUGGACAGCCUUCUGAAAGGAAGAUUAAUACGAGAUGGCAUCAUGAGUCCACAUGUUCACAUGAUUAAAGGUAUUCCGGUAGACGAUGGGGAUGCGUUCCAUUAGAUAGUAGGCGGGGUAACGGCCCACCUAGUCUUCGAUGGAUAGGGGUUCUGAGAGGAAGGUCCCCCACAUUGGAACUGAGACACGGUCCAAACUCCUACGGGAGGCAGCAGUGAGGAAUAUUGGUCAAUGGGCGAGAGCCUGAACCAGCCAAGUAGCGUGAAGGAUGACUGCCCUAUGGGUUGUAAACUUCUUUUAUAAAGGAAUAAAGUCGGGUAUGCAUACCCGUUUGCAUGUACUUUAUGAAUAAGGAUCGGCUAACUCCGUGCCAGCAGCCGCGGUAAUACGGAGGAUCCGAGCGUUAUCCGGAUUUAUUGGGUUUAAAGGGAGCGUAGAUGGAUGUUUAAGUCAGUUGUGAAAGUUUGCGGCUCAACCGUAAAAUUGCAGUUGAUACUGGAUAUCUUGAGUGCAGUUGAGGCAGGCGGAAUUCGUGGUGUAGCGGUGAAAUGCUUAGAUAUCACGAAGAACUCCGAUUGCGAAGGCAGCCUGCUAAGCUGCAACUGACAUUGAGGCUCGAAAGUGUGGGUAUCAAACAGGAUUAGAUACCCUGGUAGUCCACACGGUAAACGAUGAAUACUCGCUGUUUGCGAUAUACUGCAAGCGGCCAAGCGAAAGCGUUAAGUAUUCCACCUGGGGAGUACGCCGGCAACGGUGAAACUCAAAGGAAUUGACGGGGGCCCGCACAAGCGGAGGAACAUGUGGUUUAAUUCGAUGAUACGCGAGGAACCUUACCCGGGCUUAAAUUGCAGAUGAAUUACGGUGAAAGCCGUAAGCCGCAAGGCAUCUGUGAAGGUGCUGCAUGGUUGUCGUCAGCUCGUGCCGUGAGGUGUCGGCUUAAGUGCCAUAACGAGCGCAACCCUUGUUGUCAGUUACUAACAGGUUCUGCUGAGGACUCUGACAAGACUGCCAUCGUAAGAUGUGAGGAAGGUGGGGAUGACGUCAAAUCAGCACGGCCCUUACGUCCGGGGCUACACACGUGUUACAAUGGGGGGUACAGAGGGCCGCUACCACGCGAGUGGAUGCCAAUCCCAAAAACCUCUCUCAGUUCGGACUGGAGUCUGCAACCCGACUCCACGAAGCUGGAUUCGCUAGUAAUCGCGCAUCAGCCACGGCGCGGUGGAUACGUUCCCGGGCCUUGUACACACCGCCCGUCAAGCCAUGGGAGCCGGGGGUACCUGAAGUGCGUAACCGCGAGGAGCGCCCUAGGGUAAAACUGGUGACUGGG
rnacentral:rRNA from 1 species